rnacentral:rRNA from 1 species
UACGUAGGGUGCAAGCGUUAAUCGGAAUUACUGGGCGUAAAGCGUGCGCAGGCGGUUUUGUAAGUCUGUCGUGAAAGCCCCGGGCUCAACCUGGGAAUUGCGAUGGAGACUGCAAGGCUUGAAUCUGGCAGAGGGGGGUAGAAUUCCACGUGUAGCAGUGAAAUGCGUAGAGAUGUGGAGGAACACCGAUGGCGAAGGCAGCUCCCUGGGUCAAGAUUGACGCUCAUGCACGAAAGCGUGGGGAGCAAACAGG